CUGAAAUUUCAAAGUUUUGUCAGGGAGUCACAUGAUUUCGGUUGGACAUAAUAAAAUAGUGGACAAGAUUAACAAUACAAUAAUCCUUCAGGUGUUUUUCCUACGAAACGUGAAUAAAAAAUUGAAAAAGAUUAUCUCUACAAAAGAAAGUUGACGAGGAUGAUGCUACAGAAUUUCUCACAUUUCUUCUCUCAGCAUUGUGCACUUGCCAAAUUUAUUAUCACUCCUACCUUUAACUUGAGAAGCGCCAAAGUCAUAGAGGUUUUGCUCCAGCAUCUCAAAGACCAAACAGGUAUGGGAUUUGUGCUGGAAGCACUCGUAAGCACGCACAAAAUUGA